UACGGAGGGUGCAAGCGUUAUCCGGAUUUACUGGGUUUAAAGGGUGCGUAGGCGGUUAGGUAAGUCCGUGGUGAAAUCCUGCAGCUUAACUGCAGAACUGCCGUGGAUACUAUCUAUCUUGAAUGUCGUGGAGGUUAGCGGAAUAUGUCAUGUAGCGGUGAAAUGCUUAGAUAUGACAUAGAACACCCAUUGCGAAGGCAGCUAACUACGCGAUAAUUGACGCUGAUGCACGAAAGCGUGGGGAUCAAACAGG
rnacentral:rRNA from 1 species